GUGACCUCAAAUCAGGUAGGACUACCCGCUGAACUUAAGCAUAUCAAUAAGCGGAGGAAAGAAACUAACAGAUUCCCU
rnacentral:rRNA from 1 species